UCCUUGAUAGCUCAACUGGUAAAGAAUCUGCCUGUAAUGCAGGAGACCCUGGUUCGAUCCCUGGGCCAGGAA
rnacentral:tRNA from 1 species